rnacentral:lncRNA from 1 species
UUUUUUCUUUUUCUUUUUUUUUUAAAAAAAUUGCUAUUGAGAUGGAGGUUUUGGAUACCAUUUUGUUUUAAUAGUUAUAAAUUGUUGUUUGCAGUAUGAGUUGCAAAGAAAUUCAAGAAGCCCUUUUUUACAAGAAAUGAACAUAGUUGUGGGGCUUUAUAGCGAAAUUUGCAUACUAUGAUGCCAAGAGAAAGCAAUAUCUCUUAUUUAUUUCCAUGAUCUGCAGCUCAUUAUUUGAUUUAACAUCAAUAGUAAGAACUUUAAGGAUAUCAAAAUUAAUAUAAUGUUUGAACAGUCACAUAGAAACUAUGAACUUGAAUGAGGAAAGUUUCUGUAGAAGGCACCAAAAUGUUGCUCAUCUCCUUCGGCAUUUGUUAGCGCUCUCAUAUUCUAUAUACCUUAUGAUACCCGGUUCCGAAUCAUUUUGAAGUAUUGGAUGAGAUGGAGGAUUAAAGGUUUGUAUAGAAAGAUUUUCUUAGGUUAAUAGUGCCCUCCGUUCUUUCGUGCUGCAUGUGUGCAUAUAAGAAUGAGGUCGAUCCAUAUAAUGUUGCGAAUUUGUUAAAAAUAAUUAUUCACUUGCAUAUAGGUGAAGGAUCUUAUGAAAUUUGCUUACUAGGCAUAAUGUGAAAUUAAAUAUUUAGUAUGAGAUCUGAGGCCUAAUGGUUGCAGAGUCACAAAGAUUGACUUGAUACUAAACUUGUUUUAAGCAUCAANN